GCUGGAAAUUAGGUAUGUGUUUACUUUUAUGUAAAUACUAAUUUGAUUAAGUAUCCUUCAUGAAGCAGCACGUUCCAGCAAUCGGGUUUGCCCCUACCCUCAUCUUUUGGUCAUUAGCUCAGGCCUCCAGUGGAGACAAUCCAGUAGAGUUUGCCCUGGACCAGGAAAACUGGAAAUUCUGCAGGAAAAUAUGAAAACUCUUUAUCUAAAAUGAUCUCUCUGGGCAAGCCAUAUGGGACAAAGCGAAAUCACAAUAUGCCUCAGUAGUUUUAACAGAAGUGUUUAUCAUUUGUGCCACUUCUGGCAUCCUACAAUAAACACAAUCUAUAAUUAUGUACAUGCAAUUUUUUUUCUCUGCUA